CAUGCAAAUGCUGGCUCAACUCUUUCAGGCCUCACACCACCCUGAUCCUACUAACUGGAGUCCUGCGGUUCUCUGAGGUAUACUUCUUGUCAUAUGUCACAGGCAAGACAGUUUCUGAGGUGAGACUACCCAUGGGAUUUGCAUUAGGUACAGAGGAGAUGUGGAACAUGCAAAUGCUGGCUCAACUCUUUCAGGCCUCACACCACCCUGAUCCUACUAACUGGAGUCCUGCGGUUCUCUGAGGUAUACUUCUUGUCAUAUGUCACAGGCAAGACAGUUUCUGAGGUGAGACUACCCAUGGGAUUUGCAUUAGGUACAGAGGAGAUGUGGAACAUGCAAAUGCUGGCUCAACUCUUUCAGGCCUCACACCACCCUGAUCCUACUAACUGGAGUCCUGCGGUUCUCUGAGGUAUACUUCUUGUCAUAUGUCACAGGUACUGCUGUAUUCUUUCAUUUCAAUUUGUUUCAUGACUUUGGUAAUCACUUUGUUCCUAAUAACUUCAUAUCAUUGUUUUCUGUUUUUUAU